UGGGGAAUAUUGCACAAUGGGCGCAAGCCUGAUGCAGCCAUGCCGCGUGUAUGAAGAAGGCCUUCGGGUUGUAAAGUACUUUCAGCGGGGAGGAAGGUGUUGUGGUUAAUAACCACAGCAAUUGACGUUACCCGCAGAAGAAGCACCGGCUAACUCCGUGCAGCAGCCGCGGUAAUACGGAGGGUGCAAGCGUUAAUCGGAAUUACUGGGCGUAAAGCGCACGCAGGCGGUCUGUCAAGUCGGAUGUGAAAUCCCCGGGCUCAACCUGGGAACUGCAUCCGAAACUGGCAGGCUUGAGUCUUGUAGAGGGGGGUAGAAUUCCAGGUGUAGCGGUGAAAUGCGUAGAGAUCUGGAGGAAUACCGGUGGCGAAGGCGGCCCCCUGGACAAAGACUGACGCUCAGGUGCGAAAGCGUGGGGAGCAAACA
rnacentral:rRNA from 1 species